rnacentral:rRNA from 1 species
UACGUAGGGGGCAAGCGUUGUCCGGAUUUACUGGGCGUAAAGAGCGCGUAGGCGGAACGUUAAGCGGGGCCGGAAAGCCCCCGGCUCAACCGGGGAAGGGGCCGCGAACUGGCGUUCUUGAGGGGGAGAGGGGAGAGCGGAAUUCCUGGUGUAGCGGUGAAAUGCGUAGAGAUCAGGAGGAACACCCAUGGCGAAGCCAGCUCUCUGGCUUCACCCUGACGCUGAGGCGCGAAAGCGUGGGGAGCGAACGGG